rnacentral:rRNA from 1 species
AUUGAACGCUGGCGGCAGGCCUAACACAUGCAAGUCGAGCGGAGCGGCGGACGGGUGAGUAAUGCCUAGGAAUCUGCCUGGUAGUGGGGGAUAACGUCCGGAAACGGGCGCUAAUAACGCAUACUAUCAGAUGAGCCUAGGUCGGAUUAGCUAGUUGGUGGGGUAAAGGCCUACCAAGGGGAAGAUCCGUAACUGGUCUGAGAGGAUGAUCAGUCACACUCGAACUGGGACACGGUCCAGACUCCUCCGGGAGGAAGCAGUGGGGAAAAUUGGACACUGGGGGAAAGCCUGAACCAGCCAUGCACCGAGUGUGAAGAAGGUCUUCGGAUUGUAAAGCACUUUAAGUUGGGAGGCGUUACCAACAGAAUAAGCACCGGCUAACGUCGGGCCAGCCGCCGCGGUAAUUCCC